rnacentral:lncRNA from 1 species
AAUGAGAUGUGUUUAAUUUCUUACUAUUUCUUUCUGAAUUUGGUUUGCAGAGGAUCAUAAAAAUGAGAAAGAACAAGCUGAACUUGAGCCGCUGGCCCUCAGGCUCAGCAGGGAGCUGCAGGAGAAGGAAAAAGUGAUUGAAGUCCUGCAGGCCAAGCUGGAUGCCCGGUCUCUUUCGCCCCCCAGCAGCCAUGCCUUGUCUGACUUCCACCGCUCUCCCAGUAGCACUUCCUUCUUAUCUGAUGAGCUGGAAGCCUGCUCUGACAUGGACAUAGCCAGCGAGUAUACACACUGUGAAGAGAAGAAAGCUUCACCUGGUCACUCAGAUUUCAUCCAUCAUUCAAGUCUUUCUGCUGUAUUGUCUUCUAAACCAUCAGUAACCAGUGCUUCACAGGGGGUUAAGGCCGAGUCCAGCAGCAACCCCAUCAGCUUGCCAACUCCCCUGAAUGCCCCCAAGGAGGCCAACCAGGCCCAUCCAGGCUUUCAUUUUAACUCCAUACCCAAGCCGGUUAGCCUCCCCCAGGCUCCAUUGCCCUCAGCUCCAUCCAGUUUCCUGCCCUUCAGCCCCCUUGGUCCUCCCUUCCUUGGCUGCUGUGAGACACCAGUGGUGUCCUUGGCUGAGGCUCAACAGGAGCUGCAGAUGCUGCAGAAGCAGUUGGGAGAAAGUGUCAGCAGUGUUCCUCCAGCUUCCACAGCCACGUUGCCAGGCAGCCAUUCAGAAACCAGCUCUUCCCACUACCUCAACCCUGCCCAGUCCCACUCUCCAAUGAGGGGUGCCAUGGAAUUGGGCAGAAUUCUGGAUCCUGGGUACCUGGGUAGCAAUGGCCAGUGGGAUAUCAUGAGACCUCAGAAAGGGAGUGUCUCUGGGGACAUCUCUUCAGGUUCUUCAGUGUAUCAGCUUAACUCCAAACCCACAGGGGCUGACCUACUGGAAGAGCAUCUUGGUGAAAUCCGGAACCUGCGCCAGCGGCUGGAAGAGUCCAUCUGCAUCAAUGACCGCCUGCGGGAGCAGCUGGAACACCGGCUCAGUUCCACUGCCCGUGACAGUGGAUCCACCUCUCACUUCUACAGUCAGAGCCUGGAAUCUAUGCCUCAGCUCUACAAUGAGAACAGAGCCCUCAGGGAAGAAAACCGGAGCCUUCAAGCUCAGCUGAGUCACGUUUCCAGAGGGCACUCACAGGAAACAGAAUGCCUGAGGGAGGCUCUGUUCUCCUCUCGAUCCCGCCUUCAAGAGCUGGAAAAGGAGCUGGAGCAGCAAAAGGUGGAGCGGCAGCAGCUUCUAGAAGACCUGCAGGAGAAGCAACAGGAGAUCUUGCACUUCAGGGAGGAACGUCUGUCCCUCCAGGAAAAUGACUCCAGACUGCAGCACAAGCUGGCCCUCCUGCAGCAGCAGUGUGAAGAGAAACAGCAGCUCUUCCAUUCCCUGCAGUCGGAGCUACAGAUCUAUGAGGCACUUCAUGGAAAUUCUAAAAAAGGACUAAAAGCUUUCAGCCUGGAUGGCUGUCACCAAGUUCCUUUGAACAGUGACUUGAACCACCUGGUGGCAGAGAUACGAGCUCUGAGAGGGCAACUAGAACAGAGCAUUCAGAUGAACAAUUGUCUGCGGCUAAAGUUGGAGCAGCAGUUAGAUGGUGGUACUGGCAAAGGCAGCCUCAGCCCCUCCACUGUGAGCCAGAACUUCCCAACCAACCCUGACCCUGGAAAUAAGCAGUCACACUUUCAAGAUUCAGUUACUUCCCCUCCAGUUCGUGAUGUUGGCAUGAAUUCUCCUGCUCUGGUCCUUCCCAGCUCUUCUUCCUCUUCUCCUGGCUCAGACACUGCCAUUGUCACCAGGAAAAAUGAGCUGGAAUCAGAUGCUCCUCCAGGAAUGAAGAACUCUCCCAAGCUGGAGGGUGAUGCUACGGAUGGCUCCUUCGCCAACAAAAAUGGCCGCCAUGUCAUAGGCCACAUCGAUGACUAUACUGCUCUCAGGGAGCAGAUUGAGGAGGGAAAACAGCUGGUGCAAAAGAUCCUGUCUCUCCUGAGGCCCACAUGCAACUUCCUGGGCCUUGAAUCUCAGAGCUCAGAGGCACCAGGCAACAAAGGAGUUCAUGAGCUACGCAGCAGUCUCAGUGCCCUGCACCACACCCUAGAAGAGUCAGCCUCCCUCCUGACCAUGUUCUGGCGAGCGGCCCUGCCAAGUUCCCAAGGCCCCACAUUGCCUGGCAAAGCAGAUGAAUCAAUGGAAAGGGAGCUCCUGGAUCUGCGAGCCCAAGUAUCCAAACAGGAGAAGCUCCUUCAGACCACAGCUGAGCAUCUGAAGACUGCCAACCAGCAGAAGGAGAACAUGGAGCAGUUCAUCGUCAAUCAGUUGACCAGGACACAUGCUGUUUUGAAGAAGGCAAGGACUAAUUUGGAGGUGAAAUCUCUAAGGGCCCUGCCGUGCGCUCCAGCCUUGUGACCCUUGCCUUCCAGGAGCCACGCAAGAAGCAAAGCCACCACAGGUCCUUAAAGCAUCAGGAAGAACAGGCCUGCCCCUCUUUUGCACAACUACCUGUCUGCUGAGGAGAAUCUGGGCUUGAUUCCUCUAAAUCUGCUGGAGGUCUGAAGAUGCAGUCAGAGAUGUGUCCUUGUGGGGUAGGCAGAAAGGUAGAAUGACUUCCUGGCAGUGAUGGAAUAACAGUAGCCAAAUCCCCCUGGGCCCAGCAUUAAGCAAAGCGCGUGUGAGAUUGCGUAGUAGCACUUGUGACACUGCUUCUGAACAGCCUCAGUGGCACAGCACCUGCCAGAGCAUGGUUCUCAUCCCAACAGCUGUCCUCAGAUGGUCAACGCGAAGGAAAUAGUUGCCUUCUACACAUGGGACAUGUGAUCCCCAUGCUGAAGCUCCUCCACAGUUAUAGAAGCACACUACUGAGCAGCAGUGCCCUGAUGGACAGUGUCAGUGGGGUUCAGCGAGCACUGCUCACAGAUCCACACCUAACCAGGUAGCUCCUCUGGGCCAAGUCAGGCUGGGCUUCAUGCUGUACCACCAGUUCUGAGAGCUUUGAUUCUGUGUGGGGAAUUGGUGACUUGUUAGAUGCCCUGUCAUGCUUAGCCUAGCAUGAUCUUCUUCAUUUCUUACAUGUUCUCCAAACUGUACUGUCCCUACCCCCAUUAGGUAUGUUAUCCCUUUGUCAUCCUAACUUCCCUCAGGCAAAUUGGGAACUGAUGGCCAUACCAAGCCUAUGGAAAGUCUUGCAUAUAGCAGUCCUCUGCUUGUUUUUAAGUGGUCUGGGCAAGGCCCUAGUUGUACUGAAGCCUAGUCUGUGUCUUCAGAGUGCUCCUAGGAUGUGGGUAUGUGUGUAUAAAUGUAUGAUAGAGAUUUAUUUAUGUUGCUGUAGCAAUAUGUUGAAGGCCAACAUAACUCAUGGAUGGGGAGGAUGAGAGGAAACAACAAUCUUUUUUGGGUGGCUAUUAAAGAAAUAUGUGUAUAAGGAAAUAGUUUUUCUUUGUUUUGUUUUGCAUUUCUACACCAUUUCCCAGAACAAGUGUAUCAGAAUAGGAAAGACAAACUGUCAUGAAAAAAUAAUAGUCUAAUCCAUAAAGUCUAAGUUUAAAAAUUCAUUUUUCCUCUAUUUUACGAAAAUUUCCAAUAUACAUGAUAGAGUGAUCCUUAAACUUGAUUUGCCUUACAGUUUUCACAGGGAAGACAUAUUUUGCUGUUUGUUGUGUUCCAUUAAAACUCAGGAGUUAGGAUGGCAAGGGAAAUAAAGGUUUCUUGCAAUAAUGGAUUUGAGCAAGAUAGAGAACAUUUUCUUUCUCAACUCUCCAUCGUUUGUGACUCAGGAGCAUGAAAAGCUUUUAUAAGAGCUAUGGGGUGCAGUAGGACGAAAGGAAGGAAAUAUCCAUGUGUAUAUCUAGCUAGGCUGUGUUAAUCAGAAACAUGUCUCAGACUCAGUUCCUCUGGGCAGUGCCCUCAGGUCCAGGGAAGUCCCUCAGACUCCAUUUUCAGCUUAAGGAAAAUCAGAAGUUAAAAGGCUUUGGAGCUGUUAAUUUCAAAUGCAGUCUGUUUCACAAAUCAGUUGUGAAGAUUGUGGGAGCAAUUUCCUGGGAUGAAAUGCCAAGAACUUUUGUGGGUGUGGGACCCUAGGGUUGUAUUUAAAUAUAAUAAGCAUCCCAGGUGAUUCUAAUGCUGGUGGGCUACCAACCACAGUUUAACACACAUUGUUUUAUAUCAUUGAGUCAAAACAUUAAAUAAAUUUAUUUAAGAACCAUAGUUGAAAAUUAUGUCAUUCUGAUACCAGUCUUGGAGAUCAGGAAUGGGUCUUUGUUCCCCUGGUGUUUAGGAUUAAACACCCUGAGAAACACCCAGGCAAGUGUAGAAAGCAUAUUUUAUAUAAGAAAGAGACAGGGACAGCAGACUUCUCUGAAGAGAAUUGGUACCGCUGGUUAUCUGUCAGUGACUAGUCCUGCUUCCUCACCUGUUGAAGUUUGAAGCGUGCCAAGGCAUGCAUAUAAUGCAGGGUUUAUUUAAAAGGGGAUAACAUAGACUUCUCCUAGGAGGGAAGAGGGGGCCAGAGCUGAUGUCCUGGUAUCCCUAGAAGUGAGGUGUUCUGCCCUUUUUAUAUGUCCUAGGUUUCCUUUGUUCUCCUGCCUCUCCCCCUUAUCUUUCUCCUUCCUGCUAUGGGACUAGGCCUAGGCAGUGACUAGACCUAGGAAAUGCUUAGUGGGAUGGCCAAAAGGUGGGAAACAGGUGGGCUGAAGUGGGAAGGGCAGGAUGGUGCAGCCCACAUUAAUUAACAACCUUAUAGCUCCCUGUAGGGAGCUAUUUCUGGGACUGGUUACCUUAGCAACAGGUUGGAGCAGGGGUGGUUCUUGGGUGGAGGAAGGGCUCUGAAGGAAUUAACUCAGGGGACAGUCUCCAACUAACCAGACUCACUCAAAAUUGGCCUCCUUAAACCCACCUUCCACCAUGCGGCCAGCGCACUGGUUUCAUUAAUGAGGUUCUUGGCAUAAAUUAGCUACCAGAGAUCCAAAUAAAACACACAGACUCAGUUACCUUUUUCUAUGACCAGGUCUGAGAUGGCUCCCCUCUCUGGCUGCCACCUCGAACCACCCGUAGGGCAGCAAGGAUUACUCAGGGCUAGCAGGAGAGAGCGUGAGCACGCCAGGGAGUAGCCUUUUAUUGGGGAACAAGAAAUUCAUGGGAGAAUUCCAUCCAAUGAAGGUUGAGGGGGGCCGCACUCCAAGGUCAGGGUCAAUGAUUGGCCCCCGGGGUCAGUGGUCAGUCACACCCCCCACGGACGGGUUCUCUCAUCAGGAGAGGGCCGAGAAAGCUUCCACACAGAUUAGCCAGAGCGCCUCAGACCCAAACAGGGAGUUGCCCAGUCACGUGUGAGAAUGGCUCUCCACACCACCUGACUUAAUUGACCUGUUUAUACUGACUGUCUCUCUAGUUCUGGCUUCAGAAGUGGGCAAAGAGCUGGGUGUCAGUAGGAGUGGGGUGUGUCUUGCUGUUUUAUAGACCCCAGAACCCCACCCCCCACCACCUUUUUCUUCUUUGUGCAUAUGCCUAAGGGUAAGAAGGAGCUGGAACACUUGGGAUAAUCAAUAGCAGCUCAUUGUGCUGGGAAGUGUGAUCCCCAGGUUAGCUGUUAGCAACCCAUCUGUCUUUUCUUUGAUAACCAGCCCUUAUUUUCUCAACCCCCAUCAUUUAUUACCUACACUGACUGCCAGACCUUCUUACCCCUGAGUCAGUUUGCUGAGGAAUGUGACAUAUCCUGUCCCCUCAGGCCAGGUGGGGCUGCAGAUAGAUUAACUCACCAUCCUCAUUUAUCUGUCCUCUUAUACUUCCAUAAAUGUUGAAAUAAAAAUCUUAAAAGAUUCCUUCAGAA